rnacentral:rRNA from 1 species
UACGUAGGUGGCAAGCGUUGUCCGGAUUUAUUGGGCGUAAAGGGAGCGCAGGUGGUUUCUUAAGUCUGAUGUGAAAGCCCACGGCUUAACCGUGGAGGGUCAUUGGAAACUGGGGAACUUGAGUGCAGAAGAGGAAAGUGGAAUUCCAAGUGUAGCGGUGGAAUGCGUAGAUAUUUGGAGGAACACCAGUGGCGAAGGCGACUUUCUGGUCUGUAACUGACACUGAGGCUCGAAAGCGUGGGGAGCGAACAGGGUUAGAUACCCUGGUAGUCCCUGAG